CGAGUUGACUCAUCUAAAUUCUAUUGAUGUGUGUGCUGAAGUAGCAAAUUUAGUUAACUAUUCUAUCCUAGAUAAACUUGCAUAAUUAAAAGACUAAAAAAUGUUAUAAUGAUUACAUAGAAUAAACAUUUUAUGUAUCUGUUUCUGAAUUUAUUAAUUUUUUCUGCAUUUUUAAGAGAGAGUAACUUGUAUUAUGCACAUGUCGCUACUAAUAGUCAUAGCUGUAGUCAACAAACUGCAGGGUGUAAGAGAUAUGGAACCAUUCUGAAAAUAAAUGAUUUACCAAGUGACAUAAAAAAUUUUAAUCGAACUUUUAUCAAAAUAUGCUUAAAAAAUAAUCUAGAUAAGCAAUGCGGGGGUACUUUGGGCGGCUCAAACACGAUUUCUUGCAGUAGGUCUAACAAGUUUUCCGACAACUGAUGUGGAAACAAUAGAAGGCCUAACUUACAUAUAUACAUUUUUUAAAAUUUCUGUAUCACAAAUAUUUAUUUUGAAAUAAUAAAAGAGAGAAAAGG
rnacentral:lncRNA from 1 species